GGGGAUGUAGCUCAAGUGGUAGAGCGCUCGCUUAGCAUGUGAGAGGCACGGGGAUCGAUGCCCCGCAUCUCCA
rnacentral:tRNA from 1 species